rnacentral:tRNA from 1 species
GGGGCUAUAUCUCAGUGAUAAAGCAUUUGACUUCAGAUCAAGAGGUCCUUGGUUUAAAUCCAGGUACCCUCU